rnacentral:lncRNA from 1 species
GGAAUAGGAUGGUUCACUGAUAAGAUCUGAGGGUUUAGGAGAGCUUUAGGAUUGGGGGCUAUGAAGUAUGAAGCUUUGGGUGGGGAAGUAUGAACCUGAGUGUAUUAAAGUUGAAAGCUUUGGGCUAUACACUGGCUGCCAUAUUUAAACGACAAUGCAGCUUUUUUUCUACAGAGAGACAAAAAAGCUGAUAGAGAGAGAAGCUUCAAUGGCUUUCUUUUUCUUUCAGAGAGAGAGAGAGAGUGAAAAAGGAAGAAGCUUUUCUCAGAGAGAGAGGAAGUCACCGAGUGAGGGGAGUGUGACUUGUUUAAUAUAGUGAGAGGGGGCAGUAUUACCUGCGCACCCCGGCUUAUUUUAGCAUUUUUGGACUAAGUGAGUAAGUGCGCAGUCCUUAGCCUACGCAGGGUGCGCAUGUUAGAGGAGGUUUGUGAUUGAGAGUGUGAAAGAGAGGAAAGGUAGGAACCAAGAUGGAGGGCACAAAGCCUCGAAGGGAAAAGGGGAAGGGAGUUUGGUACUUUGGUUAUGUGGGUGGGAAUGUUAUUGAGGUUUAUAUAUAUUUUUGGAAACGAAUUGUGAGCCAAUUUGGGGUAUUGAGUACACUUUCUAGGUAGCGUCCUUGAUGGCAAACAACAUGAUGCCCAUGUGAGGAAAAUGAUCCUUAUCUUGCCCUCUAUUUUCAAGGAUACACUCCCCACUCUAUUUGCCUCACCCAAAAAAAAGUACCAUGGUCCGUCCCUCUCCAUGUCCAACAAAAAAAAUGUCAUUUUUCUUCAUUGGGAUAUUUGAAUGUUUCAUAAGUCGAUAAUUUAGUGUUUUUUUUCUUUUUUUUUUUUAUUAACUCGCUUUGAGAGUUCUUUUGUGUUGUUGUGUGUAACUUUGUUGGAACAAUGUCAUAUAUAUCAAGACAAUUUCAAAGGUUUAAAAUGUCGAUUAUAGAGACAAAUACGCAUAUAUUUUUUGUAUUUUAAGAGGAAUUGAGAUAUAUGAUAUACUAAUUUUUUUUUUAUUAUACUAAUUCUUCAUUUUCUUGUCACUCGUCUCAUUUUAACUUCUUUCAGGUAAUUCAUGAAACAAAAGGUUUUAGCCUUACUGUUGAGUUUCAUCAAAACUGGAGUUGAGGAAGUAAACGAUAUAAAAAUGUAACGUAAUAGUUGUAUUUAGCCACUGCUAAUGCUUGUAAGAUUAAGUUUUAGUUAGACCCUUUUGCUCGAAAGAAAAAAAAAAUUGCUUAGCUCCUCCUUUACUAAGCCUCUCUGUCUCACUCCCUCAUAGUCUUUUAGAAUGUAUAUGAGUUAUUCAGGCUUUUACAAACAUUUUCUAGUACAUUUUGAGCAACACACAAAAAGUUGUUCAAGACUUUAACUUCGAAUGUAAAUUUUACUAUAAACAAUAACUAUCGUGAAUUCUGAUUUUCUUUGAAGAAUGUGACUUGAUUUUAGCCUAGUUUCUUCUUCUUUGUUUGGGAAACACCAAGUUUGAAUAUUUAUCAAGGUUUGAAACUUGGUAGGCGUAGGACAGAGGACAGGCUUGGAGCGCUUAAGCAGCUAGGCGGUCUUCUAGUACCUCUAGAUGGAUUUGUUUUACUUUGUAAUUUAUUUUAAAUUUAAUUUAUAAUUACAAAUAUAUAAGACUUAAAGAGUAACAAAUUUGCAUUCAUAAUAUUAAAAUUUUAAAAUAGCCCUAACAAAUAACAAAUAAAAGGCCGUCUAGGCGGCCGCCUAACCACUCUGAUUACACAUUCCUCUCUCCCGUCGCCAAGCACCUAGGCAAGCUGCCCACCGCACAAACGAGUUUCAAAACAUUAAUAUUUAUGAAUAAGAUUGAAUCAUAUUAGCUCUCACAUUUAUUACUAAAAUUAAGGAAAGGAAUUUGGAUAAGAAUUAUAGACUUGAAAGAGAUAAGAAAUGUUGUUUGCCAUCGAGUGCCAUUCAUUCAAGCACGAUGAUAAUGCUUCCAUAAUCCAUAGAGAGCCAAAAUCUGGUUCACCGAUUUGGUGAAGGUGUGCCCAAGUGUUGGCUCCUCCUUUGUUUUCAUGACAUAUUUAUGAAGUAGCCUUUUGUUGCAUUGCACCAGCUAGACAUCAUUUUUCGAAUCCCAUUAUUUGUGUUUUAACAGUGCGAUCUUGGGUGAUUAUUGUCAUUGAUUCAUAAUCAUUUUCUCAUUUUCCUUUUGCCUUCUAUUGCAUUCAGUUCUCAUGAAGAUCUAUAAUGGAGUAAGGCCAAGACCAAAUUUACUAGCCAUGAAGACAAGCAAACAAAAUAGGAUUGGAAAUAAAUAAGGAACAAAAUGAUCAAUAUGGUUUCGAUUUUCGAUUUUUUAUUUUUUUUUGCAAUCAAUCAUUAACAAUGGAGGUCAUUUGUUUUUUCUCUCUAACAUAUCUCAUGAUCUUUUAUUUAAAAGAUUCAAUUUGUCGGAAGUUACCCAAAAGGGUUUUACCCAAUUCACUAUCAACACAUAGUGGGCAUCAACAAUAUAUGUUUGAUUAGUUUAUUACAAUUACAGGUGGAUUUACUUCUUUUGAUAAGUGGGAUUUACACUUGUAACUUGUUUAAUAACUUUAACACUAGGUUUCUGAUUUACUGUUGAGGUCGAGGUAGUUGAAUGAUCUUAUUUACACCUAAAUCUAAAUAUUUCUCGAAUUAAUUUCGCAUCAUCAUUUCAUCACUAAAAUAUGCAAGAAAGAUAAAAACAAAGCUAGCUGACAGUAGUGUGGUGUCAGCCAAAAGAUCCACAUCACAAUUUACUUCAUGUUGCAUUUAUGAUGCUCUUCAUUUCAUGUUGAGCUUCAACCUACUGUAUUAACUUCAAGGUGUAAGUAAGGUCACUGUAGUUGACUCAGAUCGAAUCUAGCUAGCGUAAUAUAUAGAUAAUUAUGAUGCAAAAAUGUUUUAAUCUGCUCAGUUUAUAUUGUUGACGAUUUGAAAUGGUUAUACGAUACGUUUACUUAUGAUUUUAAAACAGUACUUAACUUAGAUAAUUCGUAAAACUAGACGUAUUUGAGAUUUGUUUGAAGAUCUUGUUUGAAUAAUGAAAUAAAAGUUGUCCUGAGGGUUCCCACUCACCUACAACAACAUUAAGAAAUAUGUUAAAGUUAUAUUCAAGUUGCAGAUCUAGAUUCCAAAAGCCACCUUUCUAUAGCUUUCUUUGCUCUUUCUUUCUUGAUAGAGAGUUGGGAACCAAAAUCAUCCUAAGCUGAUCUUGUAGCUUAGCUUUUUACUAACAUGUAAUCCAGCACCAUCAAGCUAGAUGACUUGUUAGUCUCCCAUGUCAUGAGUAGUUGUUUGAUACCUCAGGUCAAUAUUGACGGACGAUAAUGUGUGGAAAAUCUAAUUUGAAUCCAAUGUUUUAACAUUAUGGAUUAUGUGACACUAGUGGCCAUUAGAUUAGUAAACCAACCUAAUUACUAAAAUUACAAAAGCAGUCGCAGCCAGAGAAAAAUGAGUGUGUGUGUUUCUUCUUGGAGGUUUGUCAAUUUGUCAAAGCCUCUCUCCAUACUCAUUGUGGCCCUAACAAAUCGAGUGAGAGGGAAUCCAAUGAUGACUCUGAUUUCAUAUUACUUUGGAUUAAUCCAAAUUUCUUAUGCAUGAUGAUUAUCAUUAUUAAUGAAAUAUUUCUGCCAUGAAAUGUAUGUAUUUCAAUCCCUACUUGAUCAUCUCAACCACAUUAUUGAUCAGUAUAUGGACGUAUCAUUUAUUUUUUCCUCCAUUUUCUUUUGUUUUUAUAGCAUACUACAUAUAGUAUUACUGCAAACGGCCUAAUGGUUUUUGUAUAGUUGGGCUAGUGCAAUUCUAAAUCUGGGUUCGAACCUUGAAACAAUCAAAGUGGUCAAACACUGUAUUGUAUUGCAAUGUAUUGUUAAAGCAUUUCACAUGCGCUCAUAUAUGAACAAAUAACUCUUAGUCAAAACCUUCUUAUUGAUUCUGAAACGUAUUAAAAACUAGAAUCUACAACCCUAAUGAUUCUUACUUUUACUAUUGAUUAGUUUACCUUCACAAUUGGCGCCACAUAAUUUGUUCAAAACUUCAAAUUGAUAGUCAAGGGGUUAACCGGUCAACCAUAUAAUGAAGGAUCCCGAUCAGAAACAGAAUAAUGUUAAUUUACUGCUCUUAAGUCUGAUUGUGUUCGACGAUCAUUAAGCACUGAGAUAAACUUAAAUAACCAUAUAUAUCAUUAGGACUGAUAACAGUCCAAGCCCCAUGAUACAAAAAUCUCUGGAAAAAGUUACUCUUUACCUUUCCAAGUUUGCUUGUAACUUUUGGAGAGUAUAUAAUGAUUUCUGGGAAACCUAAUUAUCAAGCAGAGGGUAUUGACCAUAUAGACAUGUCAGCAUCAUGAAAUUUCGAAAUGAUACUGCUGUAUCAAACAUGGAGAAGUCAAAGACGAUGUGUAUCAAUAAACUGAGUUACGUGAGGAAAAAGUAAUUGCCCACCCACCAAAGUAAGGUACAACUUGGUUUAGGGCCACAGGUAAAAAUUUGGUAGGAUUAGAAUAUAUGGGAGACUGUAAUCUUUAUGUAUCCAACUUGUGCAAUUGGAAGAUAAGGUGGAUUUAGUAGCAGUUCUCAUUUAUAAGUUACUCGAAGUUAGUUGACUACAAAAAAUAGAAAUAAAAAUAGUUAUUAAAAGUUUAUACAUUAAACCCUAGCCUAACCUAGCCAGUUUGAAAGCUAGUUUAAACUUUAAAGCAUCGAACCCUAAGCAAAAUAGGGGUCACAAAAUAAUCAAUCCAUAAACCUACUUCUUGAAAACGAAGAAGAGUUCGGUUUCUCCGCAACUAUACGAGCUUUGUAUGUGUAUUAACAAUGUUUGCUUUACAAUUUAACGAAUCAACUGUGAUAUUAGAUUUCUCGUAUCACAUUUCUUUUUGAUUGAAUUUACGCAUAUUUGGAGAGAUGCUAAUGAAUCGGUAUCAAUAAGAAUUAGUAUCAAUAAGAAUCAAUAUCAACAAGAAUUGGUAUAAGAAUAUAUAUUUCAUUUCAUUUUAUAGUUUACUUAUCAUAAACAAUCAAAACAUGAAUGAAACUAAUUACGAUUGAUGUUGUUUACUUAUCAUAUGAAAUCAGAAUUAAAACUAUUUUUAUUACUAAAGUAUCUCUACAAGAAAGGAAAUUGUUUGCUAUUUUUUAGGGUUAGGUAAUUUAGAAAUAUUAUAAUUAUGUGAGGAUAUUUUGAGAAGAAAGAGUUGAUUCCAUAAUAUUGAUUAUGUCAUUCUUAUACCCAUCUCCCCUAAAUUAGGGGUUCAUAAGGAAUUGAUUUUCCAUAAGCAAGUGAGACUCACACCCAAUCUAAUAUAUAUAUAUAUAUAUAUAUUUUUUUUUUUGGAUAAAAAGGGGCCAGAACAAACAAAUAAAGGCUAAGUAGCAGCAGCUACAUUUCUAACUUUAACAGAAUCACACAAAUACCCAUUCAAAUACAUUGACAUAUUAGUAAACGACGAAAUUCAUCAAUCCUGAAAUCAAUUCAGCCACUCUCAAUUUUCUAUUUGAGGUUAGUAACAUGCCAUUAGUAAAUUCCUUUUUUAGUCACAACGUUUGUCGCGUCCAUGGGUCGACCCGAUUUAUCUAUCCAGGAACAUAAAACCGGGUCCAAAUAAUUCUAAAACCUUCCAUAACCGCGCCCCUUCACUCCUCCCCUGAGGUCCAUUUCCUUAAUUUCGCACAAAAACCAAUGGCGUCUUCAGCGUCCGGAUCGUCUCCGUCGCGCACAUCCCUGGCCUCGAUGAUAUCUCCUACAGUAGCUUCCACUGUAAGAUUUCCCUAUACACCUCCUGAAAUGACGCCGUUUUCCACUCUAUUCGCUCAGAUUUUCACAUGCGCCUCACUCUCAGUUGUUUUUAUGGAAUCUAAUAGUUCAUUGUGACAAGUAUGAGUGUGAGGGAGUGAAGGUUUUGGUUUAAUUAUGGUUUUCUGUUUUUAAUUUUUAUUUGUUUCCAAUUUGAUCAACUUGGUAGUUUUUGAUUUAAGCAAUACUAUUUCUUACGAGUUGUAACUAGAGUAACUAAUCUUGACUAGGAAAUCUAUAGAGAAUUUGGAACGGGGACAAAGUUCCAGAAUAGAGAACUGAAGCUUAGAUAACAAGUAUUAUAAUUCUGUGAGCUCAAUCGAGACUAGACGAUAAAUUCAUUGUCAAGGAAGUUACAGAUAUGGUUAAUGGUGUGUUUAUCUACAUGGGGUUCUUGAAAGGAAAUCCGUAGAGAAUUUGAAAUCAAUAAACACUCCUUCUGUUGCAUCCAUGACCGAUCCCUGCGCCUCAUGAUCACUUAAUUUCAGAUUUGUUUGUUCUGUUUAGACGAAUCCAGAUAUUAACAGAUAGCAUUGUUUGGUUGCCAUUGUUUUCUGUCACUGAGUUUCUUGGCUUGAAUGAUGUGUUUUGUAGUCUUUCAUAUCACUGAUCAAGAUGAGAAUAAUCUUAGCGGUGCUGAUGCAAUAACUGAAGAUAUUGAACAGGUAAAUAUUCACAAUUGAUCCUCUUUUCAUCCAAUUUAUAGGUUAUGUCCUGUGCUCAUAUUUCUUAUGCUGAUAUGUUUUGUCCAUUUCAGUUAGUUCAAAGUUAUAUAUACAAUUAUACAUACCUAUAUACAGGCCUUCUCGGCUGUGGACGUCCGCACCGAAGGUUUCGGUGCGGAUUUCCAUUUUUGCACCACUUUCCGAUUGAAUUUCCUCAAACUUCCUUCUAGACAUAUCUAGAUCAUCUUGUGUAGAUCAUCUCUGCAAAAUUUCAGGCAAUUUGGUGAUCGUUAAGGCCCUCAAAAUACGAAAAAACAAAAUGGAGAUGAUGAACCGGACAGAAUUCAGUCCGUCAGAUUUUGUUUUUCGAUUUUUGAGGGCNNNNNNNNNNNNNNNNNNNNAUUUUGCAGAGAUGAUCUACACAAGAUGAUUUAGAUAUGUCUAGAAGGAAGUUUGAGGAAAUUCAAUCGGGAAGUGGUGCAAAAAUGGAAAUCCGCACCAAAACUUUGGUGCGGACGUCCGCACCUGAGAAAGGCUGUACCUAUAUAUAUAUAUUCAGUUUAUAAGCAGUAGCUGGAUUUAACCAGAGACAGAAGUAGUCGAAAACAUAAGCAUACAAAAUCCAAAUAGCACAGGACAAUUGCAUAAAGAUGAAAAGUUGAGCAAGACAUAGAAAAUUGCUUCUAAAACCACAUUUUUCAAUUUCCACGCUCAUUAUUUGAGUUUAAUUUUAUUUUCUUUUACCUCAUUUUUCUGCAUUUAUGCUACUACUACUGGUUCUGGAGACUUCUUAGGAGGUGACUCCAUCCAUAAUUCUUCAUCAGGACAUGUUUUCAGACUGCUUUAGGACUUAUUGUUUAACAACAAAGUCACAUUACUUUGUACGCCGUUGGUGUUUGUAUGAAUUUUGUUUCUUAUUGUUGCUAUAUUGGUAGUUUACAAGCAUGGUAUUUUUAAUGUCCAUGAGUAGAGUUCAAGAGCUUUGAUUUACAUAAAAAAUAAAUGGCGCUGAGAAAGAUACGAAAUUUGGUGGGAAAAAUGGAGAUCCACGUUCCAAUGUUUGGCUUCUGAUAUUAGUAUGCUGUUUAGGAUUGGCAACCACAAAUCCAGGUCUCAUGACUGGUGGAUCCCCAUGCCAAUUCAUUCAACAAUUGUUCGCGCACUGGGUCACUCCUGUUAGGAUCAACAACUCAUCAUUCUUUUUUAUAAUUAGAUCCAUUUGAAUAUCAUUCUCCCCUUGAAGAUAAUGCCUCAAAAAAUCCUUGAAAUUGAUAAAUGAGUUUCAACUGUUUGUAGGAUGAAGUAUACUAACAUUGAGAUGGAUUAUAUAAUAUACUAAAUUAUAGAGCACUUUGCUUGAUCUUUGACCUUCUUUAGACGUUGAGAUUAGUUAUCAGCUUUAUCUGAUUAUAUACUUGAGCAAAAAACUUUCCGUUUUGUCCAACUAUAUAUUACUGAAGGCUUAUGGAGUAGAGUACGUGAUUACAUAGCCAACUUGAUCUUUGAUAUGUGGGUUUUGACUUGACCAUAGGUUUUAUUAGUUGAAGUUCAUAUCUUGAUUUCUCUUCAGUUCUCUAGAGAAAGAAGCAUAGUACUGAGGUCUCAAGAUCUUUGCAGCUUGGACGUUGGAGUAUUUAUGUAAUGCCACUGGAAGUUGGAUAUUCAGCAACAAUUAUAUAUCAGGGUUUUAAUUGAAACUCUAGAUGUCCGAACUAAUCCAGUUCCAGAGCUAAUUCAUAUCCUUCAGUUGAAUUCUGUUACUUGGAUCAUUAGCUUACAAUCCUCUUCUGCCAACAUGUUUCAUAAUGGGAAACAAAAUCUGUGAAGAAAGACUUACAUACGAAAUUUACGAGAAGAAAGUAAAUUCAAACCUGCAGCACUGCGGGGGGUAGUACCUGGCGUUGAACUAUUGUAUAGUUCUAGCUAUACCAAAACAUACUUCAAGCUUGCAUGAAGCUGCUAAUUAAUAACCUUGGAAUGGGAACUCUAUCUUGAAGAUUUGCCACAUUAGUGUAGUAAGUAGUAACAAACUUUAUGCAUGUUAUAUGCCUCCUCGGUAGAAUGGAUUGCGGUAUGUCCUCAACGUACUAGUCUUUUGCAGGUUGGACAUGGUAGUUUCCGGAAGGAUGGAUGGCAACACUGAGAGUGUCCAAUGUGAAGGAUGACAAGGGUACGGUUCCUUUUGGAAAGCAAUAUAAAGGAUAACAAGGGUACGGUGUCUCAGAAGAGUCUGUCCUGAAAUGCACGUAACUUCUCUUUGUUAUCAUUCAAUGCUGGUGUCUCGAAGAGUCUCCUGAAAUGCACCUAACUUGUACACGCUUUGCUUUGUGUUCAUAAGGCAGCUUAAAGAACUCGUUGGCCACGUCCAGUAUCUUAUGCAGCAAAUUGUCUUCAACCCCGUGAUUGAUCAAGUACGUGGAUUUUUAACCAAUUAUUACUCUGAUACUCAACAUCUCCUACUAUACCCUAACAAAACUAAUAGUCCAAUACUUGCUUGCUUACAUAAGACUGAUAAAAAAAAAUGAAAUUACUCCUGGAAGAACCCGAAUUCUUGGGAAGCCUCUAUGAGUUGCUUUAUCAGUUGAGGUCUGUUGGUUCCAAGUUGCUGAAAAUCAGUGACUGGAAUGAACUCCAAUACAGAGACCUGUGUAUUGCCCGGUCUAGUUCCUGGAGGUAGAAAUUGCUAGUCACUUCUGUUUGAGAUGAGCUUCUCAGACGUGUGAAGCCAAUUUAACUAAGUUAUAAAAAUGGCCUGGAGUUGUAAGUUGAAACUAGUUUACUGCGCUAGUGUAGCCAAAAUCAUAUUCUGUGGAUAUAGGAUGAUGCAUAUAGAAGCAGCUAGUUUAUGUAGGCCGGACAUAUAAAGACUCUUCUCAAUUAUAAGACAAAAAUUAAUCUAACUUCAUAAACUUCACCAUGCUAGGAGAAAAAAAAGUCUUUUUCGUAUUAUUAAACACGAACGUUACAUACGUUUGAAAGAUGAAUCUUGAACAACGGUAGCACAGUGAUGGAGUAUCACGAGAAGAUUGAGGUAGAGGAAGAACUCCACCGCACACUUGUCUGAGGCCAGGGAUUGAUGUAUUCCUCCAAAGUCCAAAUUAUGACAACGGUGUCUCAAACAGUCACUCCAGAAAUGCACCUUCUCUCUCUAGCUUAUGUCAAUGCUGGUGUAUAGUCUACACCUUUGCUUGGCAUCCCAGAAGAGAGCUGCUUUGUCUUCACAAGAAGCUCAAAGAUCACUGGAUACAUGCAAUACUUGGUGUAAAGUGGCCGGGGAAUUGGCUUUUGGAAGUUCUUUAAGUUCUCUUAGCCAUGGGAUUAUACAUGACUACAUUAGUCUAGUGUUGCGAUUGUUGCUUGAUAUUAGAAGUUGAGCAGAUCCUCUGCUCUGGUUGCUCAGAUAGAAACGAUGACACUAGAAUAGACAGAAGUAAUGAAAGGCAGACAAAGCGUCUUAAUUGUAAUGCAAAAUCCAGCUGCAUUAACGCAUUGAUCAAACAACGAAAGUGAAUGGAAUCCCACUUUCGAUUAUUUCAGAUGACUCAUAAUCAUGAAAUUCUAGUCACCGGACCAAACACACUUCAAGCCUGGAUCUUAUGACGAUCGAGGGGUGGUACUCCCGCAUGAGUGUCUUGUACAUAGCUGGGAAGAAAGUCCUUGUAUGCAAAUGAUUUAAACAGUGGAGGGCUGCCGGAGUCCUUAGAUGCUAGUGCUUUUGCAGGCUCAAUAAAGCAGUUGCCGGCAGGAUGGAUGAAGUGGGUUACUGUUGUGCGCGACACCUUUUUGUUGGUCAUAACUCUGUGCUCGGCACUGCUUAGCUUCCCGUUACUGACAAUCUACACAUGAUUAACAAAUUCAGGGCCUAGUGUACAGGUUAAGUCUCAUCAAGGGAAAAAGAACAUUACAGGUUUAAGCUAACGUGAUCAAAGUUGAAAUACAAGAAGCAGAGCUAGAUUUGUUGAUGCACCUUUAGCAUAUGGCCUAUGUUAACCACAAAGCCAUCAGGUUGAGGCUCAACACCCAACCAUUGUCCAUCUUUCAAGACCUGAAGACCAUGAACUUCUUCCCCUUGGAGAAGAAGAGUGAUGAGGUUAAUAUCACUAUGUUUAGGUAAUCCCAAGGUUAAGCUUGGGUCUGGGCAAGCUGGGUAAUAAUUGGCAGCCAUGAGUUGCACUUCGGUAAGUUCAUCCCGGAAAUAUCCGGGUUCAAGUCCCAAGCCUUCACCAAUCAGAUCCAAAAGCAACAUACAAAGCUUCCUCGCUUCCACUGCAUAACCUCCCAUUACCUCCCUGAAAUUCCAGUUGCAAAAAAAGAACAGUGAUGUCUUUAACAAUGUUCUCUGAUAGUAUACACAUCCUAGUAAAGUAGAUGUCUUGGAGGGUGUCUUAGACAUGCAUACCGAUAUUGAGGCGGUUUCUGAGGCCAGGAAUCGAUGUGUUCCGCUAGUGGAUGGCAAGGGUGUCUCAAAGAGUCUCUCCAGAAAUGCACCUUCUCAUUGUCAUAGUCAAUGCUGGUGUAAACUCUAGAUUUUUGCUUAGAAUCUUCAGAAUACAUAACUGCUUUAUCUUCACUAGGCAGCUCAAAGAACUCAUUAGCCACCUUCAAUACCUUACGCAGCACAUCGUCUCCAACCCCAUGAUUGAUCAACUGCAAUUUGACACCCACAUCUCUCCCAUUACACAAUAACAAAGCAAACAAAUUCUGGCUCAAAUAAAAUCGUGGAAAAGAAUUUUGACAUUGCAAGUGUUUCAAACCUGGAAGAAGCCGUAUUCUUGAGAAGCCUCUAUGAUUUGCUUGACCACCUGAGAUCUGUUGGUAGCAAGAUGCUGCAAAUCAAUGACUGGAAUGACCUCCAUUACAGACGCAUCGGUAGUGCCUGGUCUAACCCCUGGGGGUAAUAUGUAGGAUUCAGGUACAACUUUGAAGUCAUGCUGGUUUGAGAUGAGCUUGGUAGCCAUUUUGUCAGAUAUGUGAAGUGGCCUCCUGGGUUUGAACCUUAAGUACUGUGUCUGUGGGUAACGGUUGAUACAGAAGCAGACAAGUAUAAUCGGCAAAUAUGCAGAAUGUGCUUGUCUAGAAUAUAUUUCUGUACUUUGCAGAAAUACAUAGAUUCUUUUCCACUUGUGGACAAAUGUCAGAAAAUAUAUAUAUUCAAAAACCGGAAAAUUAUUCACUGGAUAUGUAAAAUGUAUCAAACUAUUCAUCCCCAUUGAUUGUUACAGAUCUAAUGGUCUAAACUCAGAGUGUAAUUAAUCUUACUAUAAUUUAGGUGGUCACGGUUCCGGGGAUGAGUGAUUUUCCAAUUUUUUGAAUAUAAUCAAUAUAUAUUUCCAUGUACUCCUGAUCUCCUGGAGCAUUAGUACAAUUUCAAAGACUGAUUCAUGAACUGCACUCCUAACUCUCAAGUGACCCCAAAUAUAAAUCUUGGAAGUACUGCAGUUUUAAGUCACUAUAGCAAAUUAACAAACACACUUUUAAGAUUAAUCGAAGUUUACAAGGCGUAACGCUCAAGUGGUGGUACUCCUUGAUGAGUAUCUGUUACAUAGGUGCGAAGAAAAUCCUUGUAAGCAAAAGCUCUGUAGAGUGGAGCACUGGAGUCCUCAGCCAAAAGUGCUUUUGCAGGUUCAAUUUGGCAGUUGAAGGAAGGAUUGAUGUAGCUUGCAACUGUUGUCCUUGAAGACUUUUCGUUUGUCACAACCCUGUGCUCGGCACUGCAUAGCUUCCCAUUGCUGAUAAUCUGUACUUAUGGAUUCACAAUUUCAUAACAAAAUUUUCUUGCAUUUGUACUGAAAAAAGAAGUGAUAUUUAGAUUGCCACCCUUGAAAGAAAAAGGAACUAGUUUGUUGAGUUCACCUGUAAGAUGUGGCCAAUAUUAACUACAAAUGCAUUAGGGACAGGCUGAACAGUUAACCACUGCUCAUCUUUCAAAACCUGAAGUCCAGAAACUUCUCCUUGUAUAAGAAGAGUGAUGAGGUUGACAUCACUAUGUUUAGGUAAUCCCAAGGUUAAGCUUGGAUCUGGGCAUAGUGGGUAAUGAUUUGUAGCCAUUAUUUGCACUUGGCUAAGUUCACCCACAAAAAAGCCAGAUUCAAGUCCUAAUCCUUCAGAAAUGAGAUCCAAAAGACACAAACCCAGCUUCCUCACUUCCACUGAGUAACUCCCAACCACAUCUCUGAAAUUGCGGAUAAUGUGCUUAAAUAAGAUUUAAAGUAGAGACUAAAACCGGAGUAGUUAAUUUCAGUACUAAUAUCGUGUCACGGGGUCUUCCAUUCUCCAACAGUGUUAUAUCAUUUGGUAAAUUAGAAUGGUCAGCCCAGAAUGGUUUAGCUGGUUUCAGAAAAUGUACCGAUAUUGAGGUGGUUUCUGAGGCCAGAAUUGGAUGUGCUCCUCCAGAGGAUGACAAGGGUGUCGCAAAACGUCUCUCCAGUAAUGUACCCGUUCUCUCAUAUAAUCGAUGCUGGUGUAUAAUCUACAGCUUUGCAUAGGAUUUUCGGAAUAUACACUUUCUUUGUCUUCACCAGGCAGCUCGAAGAACUCAUUGGCUACAUUCAAUACCUUAUCCAACAAGGUAUCUGGAACACCAUGAUUGAUCAACUGCAUUAUGUUGAAAUCAUAUAAAUAGUAAGUCAAAUAAAGCCUGUAAACAAAAAUGAAGAAAGGAGAAGGAUCUCAAAUCAACCUGGAAGAAUCCAAAUUCUUGGGCGGCCCUUGUAACUUGCUUAAUCAGUUCUGCUCUAUCAGUACCAAGUUGCAGAAAAUCAAUAACAGGAAUGGUUUCAAAUAUCAAAACUUGUGUAUUGCCGGGUCUAGUUUCCGGGGGUAAUAUGUAAAGUUGAGGUACAGAUUGCAAGUUACUUCUAUGUGAGAUGAGCUUCUCCAUAGUAGUGAGAUUGCAGCUAGUUUACUCAGAUGCAUGUAGUCAAUCUAAGGCAGGAAAAAAGAUGAUAUAAGUAGUGUUUCAAAUUCCAUAAGCAUAUUCGAGUCUGAUAAUGUGACUGCAGGGGUGGUACAGAAACAGACAAGUUAUACUAGAGAAGCUCCAUGAUUAACAUGUAAAGUAGAGGCAGAAAACAAAACAAUCUUGAGGCUAGCUGGAUUAUUUGGUCUUCUUUGGUUGGAUUUUUAGGAGAACAAUUUUCUAAUCAACUAGACCCAUAUAAGAACAAAGCUGAACUUCAAGGGUAUCACUCCCCAUUUGAUACGUUCCCCAGCACAAAGAAAUGUAGAUUUCUAAAAGAGAAAAGGAUUGGAUUUUUUUCUAAAUGUGGAAUGAUUUUGUCUUUGCAUCUUUGUAUCGAUUCAAAUACAGUAAGUAGAAUAAAAUUCAUAGAAGACUAUUAAGUGUCAAACCAUCAUAAACCAAAGCGGCAAAUAAGAAUGUCUUAUUGUUUUAUUCCAUUUGAACUAGUGGAUUAUGAGGAAUAUCUAAGCAUCAUGCAAUCCUUGAGUAGUGGUUUUGAUAUUAGCAACACAACUUGAUUUCCCUGGAGAACUAGGUAAAUUUUUGUCUGGUGCCUUGUAGACGAUUAAGUUGCUUCUAGUACUCCAACACAGUUAAAUUAUAAAUGGAGUAUUGAAAAAUGUGCAUAGCACAUUUGUAUUUACGAAUCUCCAUUUGGAGAAUGAGUACAUCAUAGAAAUGCAUGUCUAUACGAAGGAAAUUCUAACUUGAUUACAUUGCUUAAUGUCAUGCUUGUCUGUUCCUGGAGCAUUAGUAGAACUUCAAGGCUGGAGCUUAUACCGCUCAAGUGGUGGUAAUCCCUCUAGGGUAUCUGUUAUAUAGGUGCUAAGAAAGUCUUUGUAUAUAAAAUCUCUGUAGAGUGGAGUACUGCAGUUCUUAACAAGAAGUGCUUUUGCAGGUUCAAUGUGGCAGUUUCCAGAAGGAUGGAUGAAGCUCGCAACUGACAUCCUCGAAACCUUUCUGUUUGUCACAACUCUGUGCUCUGCACUGCUUAGCUUCCCAUUACUGAUAAUCUGUACUCACAUUCACAAAAUCAUGACUAAUUUUUUUUUUUUUAAAGCUGGAUACUAUUCACUCCCAGAGUCCCAUUUCAUCAUUUUGCACACUCCAAAGUCACUACCUUAUGAUCAUGCAUGAUGAUAAAGUGGGAGGGAUAGUAGCUUUUCCAUUAAUCAAAAUGUUAAGAGAAUAGGAGCCAGCUAGAGUAGUGGAUUCACCUGCAAAGUGUGGCCUAUGUUAACUACCAAGGCAUUAGGGACAGGCUCAACAGCCAACCAUUGCUCAUCUUUGAAGACUUGAAGGCCAUGAACUUGUUCUUGCAGAAGAACAGUUAUGAGAUUUCCAUCACAAUGUUUAAGUAAUCCCAAGGUUAAUGUUGGGUCCGGGCAUGGUGGGUAAUAGCUUAUACCCAUUAUUUGCACUUGGCUAAGUUCACUCUUGAAAAACUCAGAUUCAAGUUCCAAUCCUUCACAGAUCAGAUCCAGAAGACACAAACUCAGCUUCCUCACCUCCACCGAAUAAUUUCCAACCACCUCUCUGAUUAUUAUUUAAGAAGAAAUGAAAAUGUUUGUUAAACAAGAUUUGCUAUAUAGUCGAAAGUGACUUAUAAUUACAUGUUUUUGAUGACCAAAAUUACCGGUAUUUAAUUGGUUUCUGAGGCCAGGCUUGCAGAUGUUCCUCUAAUGGAUGACAAGGGUGUCUCAAUUUUUCUCUCCAGUUAUGUACCUUCCCUUUCUCUCCAGGACAGAAGCUUGCUUUAUCUAUAGAAGGCAGCUCAAAGAACUCAUUGGCCACAUCCAAUAUGUCAUGCAACAAAUUUUCUGGAACUCCGUGAUUGAUCAACUGCGUUGUGUCAAAUACUAGUAUAUAAGUACUAUGAAUAACAGAAUGGAAGAAAUAGAAAGAAUGUCCUACCUGGAAGAAUCCAAAUUCUUGGGCAGCAUCUAUGAUUUGCUUAAUCAGCUGUGGUCUGUCUGUACCAAGUUGCUGAAAAUCAAUAACAGGAAUGUCCUCCAUUACAGAAACUUGUGCAUUUCCGGGUCUAGUUUCCGGGGGUAAGAUGAAAGAUUCAGGUACAUCUUGCAAAUCACUUCUGCUUGAGAUGAGCUUCUCCAUUUCCCAAAUAAAGUGCAGUUUAACCAAGUGAAAUUAUCCUUGGAUUUCCAGCUGCUUUAACUAAGCAUAUUCCUUUCAUAAUGUGGCUACUCAGAUGCAGAUAAGAAUUUUUUGGAUGAGCAGACAAACAGGUCAUUGUUAUGAAAUUGAUCAGAUGAAUACAAAAUGUUGUGAGCUGGCCAAACAAGAAGUAAUCCUUUUCCCCUGAUUCUUUUAUUCAUUUGUGGUGCAAAAACAAAGAACUAGAGUAAAUAAGAACAAAGGUGACUAUGAGGGAAUCCAGAACAUUGGAUCCUUUUCUUAGUAGCCAUGAUAUAGAAGUUCAUUGGACAUCCAUGAAUAACAACACCAUUUCUUUCAUUACCAGCACUAUGCUUCCUCCCUUGCAUAUGCUCUCUUUUCACUUUAUGUUGUUCAUUUCAUCUUUGACAGGAAAAAGGAAAA